GAAACCCGGUGAUCUAGCCAUGGGCAGGUUGAAGGUUGGGUAACACUAACUGGAGGACCGAACCGACUAAUGUUGAAAAAUUAGCGGAUGACUUGUGGCUGGGGGUGAAAGGCCAAUCAAACCGGGAGAUAGCUGGUUCUCCCCGAAAGCUAUUUAGGUAGCGCCUCGUGAAUUCAUCUCCGGGGGUAGAGCACUGUUUCGGCAAGGGGGUCAUCCCGACUUACCAACCCGAUGCAAACUGCGAAUACCGGAGAAUGUUAUCACGGGAGACACACGGCGGGUGCUAACGUCCGUCGUGAAGAGGGAAACAACCCAGACCGCCAGCUAAGGUCCCAAAGUCAUGGUUAAGUGGGAAACGAUGUGGGAAGGCCCAGACAGCCAGGAUGUUGGCUUAGAAGCAGCCAUCAUUUAAAGAAAGCGUAAUAGCUCACUGGUCGAGUCGGCCUGCGCGGAAGAUGUAACGGGGCUAAACCAUGCACCGAAGCUGCGGCAGCGACACUAUGUGUUGUUGGGUAGGGGAGCGUUCUGUAAGCCUGUGAAGGUGGCCUGUGAGGGUUGCUGGAGGUAUCAGAAGUGCGAAUGCUGACAUAAGUAACGAUAAAGCGGGUGAAAAGCCCGCUCGCCGGAAGACCAAGGGUUCCUGUCCAACGUUAAUCGGGGCAGGGUGAGUCGACCCCUAAGGCGAGGCCGAAAGGCGUAGUCGAUGGGAAACAGGUUAAUAUUCCUGUACUUGGUGUUACUGCGAAGGGGGGACGGAGAAGGCUAUGUUGGCCGGGCGACGGUUGUCCCGGUUUAAGCGUGUAGGCUGGUUUUCCAGGCAAAUCCGGAAAAUCAAGGCUGAGGCGUGAUGACGAGGCACUACGGUGCUGAAGU
rnacentral:rRNA from 1 species